rnacentral:rRNA from 1 species
CUCGCGCGAGAUAGUGACAGGGAAUAUCAAAGCGGGACUCUUCGAGUCUUGCUGUUGGAAUGAGAACAAAUUAAAACCUUUAACGAGGAUCAAUUGGAGGGCAAGUCUGGUGCCAGCAGCCGCGGUAAUUCCAGCUCCAAUAAGGAACAUUAAAUUUGUUGCAGUUAAAAAGCUCGUAGUUGAAUUUCUGCGCGUCGUCGUUAAGCAGGAUCGAAGCAAUUCGUUCCUCGUCUUAACCGCGCGCAUGCUCGCGUUGACUCUUUAUAGUUUACUCUGUAAUGUAGAAGACGCGUCUUUUACUGUGAACAAAACGAAGCGUUCAUGGCAGGCUUUGAGCUUGAACGAAUCGCACGGAAUAAUGAAAACGGUCUUGUUCGUUUUCGUUGGUUCGCGAAUGAGGUUAUUGGUUAACAGGAACAGUUGGGGGUAUUCGUACUUCAACGCUAGAGGUGAAAUUCUUGGAUUGUUGAAUGACGAACGACUGCGAAGGCAUUUACCAAGGAUGUUUUCAUUAAUCAAGAACGAAAGUUUGGGGAUCGAAGAUGAUUAGAUACCAUCGUAGUCCAAACAGUAAACGAUGCCGACUCGGGAUCCGAGCGUGUUGAUUUAUGACCGCUCGGGCACCGUAUGAGAAAUCAAAGUCUUAGGGUUCCGGGGGGAGUAUGGUCGCAAGGCUGAAACUUAAAGGAAUUGACGGAAGGGCACACAAGAGGUGGAGCCUGCGGUUUAAUUUGACCCAACACGGGGAAACUUACCAGGCCCAGACAUGACGAGGAUUGACAGUUUGAAAGCACUUUCUUGAUUUUAUGGGUGGUGGUGCAUGGCCGUUCUUAGUUGGUGGAGUGAUUUGUCUGGUUGAUUCCGAUAACGAACGAGACCCGGGCUGCUAAAUAGUGAUCCAUUACAUUUUGUAGUGCAGACGCUUCUUAGUGGGACAACUUGGUUUUACCAAGCGGAAGCACCGGGCAAUAACAGGUCUGUGAUGCCCUUAGAUGUUCUGGGCCACACGCGCGCUACAAUGACGGGUUCAACGAGUUUUUUCCUUGCUCGGAAGGGCUAGGUAAUCUUCUCAAUGCUCGUCGUGAUGGGGCUAGAUUUUUGCAAUUAUUAAUCUUCAACGAGGAAUCUCUAGUAUGUGCGAGUCAUCAGCUCGCGCAGAAUGCGUCCCUGCCCUUUGUACACACCGCCCGUCGCAGCUACCGAUUGGAUGGUCCGAUGAAAAGUUUGGAGAUGAUAUUGGCUCGCGAGGGUUGGUUUCGUCAAAGCUCUUUGAAUCUUAUCAUCUAGAGGAAGCUGAAGUCGU